rnacentral:rRNA from 1 species
AUGAGGGAGUUCCUGAUAGAGAAGGUCUUGCCAGCAAUACAAGCUGUUUGGCCCGAAGGUGAUGCUGGACAGACCAUCUACAUUCAGCAGGAUCAUGCUAAGUCCCAUAUCUUGCCAGAUGACCCGGAAUUUCUAGAAGCUGUCGCAAAAACUGGACUUGACAUCAGAAUAAUACAACAACCUGCCAACAGUCCUGAUUUGAAUGUGCUUGACCUUGGGUUUUUCAACUCGCUGCAAUCCCUAACAAAUUGUCUGAGUCCUAAAACACCACAAGACCUUAUUAAGGGUGUUUUGGAGGAAUUUGAAGGCUAUGAGGUUUACAAGCUCAACAACAUUUUCCCAACUCUACAAAUGUGCAUGAUCGAGAUCCUGAACCAUGCAGGGGGCAAUGGGUACAAAACACCCCAUGUAAACAAGGAAAGGCUUGAGGGUCUUGGGCAGCUACCUCCAAGACUAUCCUGCCCUCAAGAGGUUUACACAAGUGCUAGUGAUGCUUGUGAUGAGGCUCUCAUGCUUGUGAUGAUGCUUGUGAUGCUUGUGAUGAGGCUCUGA